CAGUCGCCGCGGUAAUGCGUAGGUGGCAAGCGUUGUCCGGAAUUAUUGGGCGUAAAGGGCUCGCAGGCGGUUUCUUAAGUCUGAUGUGAAAGCCCCCGGCUCAACCGGGGAGGGUCAUUGGAAACUGGGAAACUUGAGUGCAGAAGAGGAGAGUGGAAUUCCACGUGUAGCGGUGAAAUGCGUAGAGAUGUGGAGGAACACCAGUGGCGAAGGCGACUCUCUGGUCUGUAACUGACGCUGAGGAGCGAAAGCGUGGGGAGCGAACAGGAUUAGAUACCCCUGUAGUCCCUGUCUCUUAUAC
rnacentral:rRNA from 1 species